CAUGAAGUUGAUCAUGGCUCAAGAUUGAACGCUGGCGGUAUGCACACAUGCAAGUCGAACGGUAACGGGCCUUCGGGUGCCGACGAGUGGCGAACGGGUGAGUAAUAUAUCGGAACGUGCCCAGUAGUGGGAUAGCCCGGCGAAAGCCGGAUUAAUACCGCAUACGACCUGAGGGUGAAAGCGGGGGAUCGCAAGACCUCGCGCUAUUGGAGCGGCCGAUAUCAGAUUAGCUAGUUGGUGGGGUAACCUACCAAGGCAACGAUCUGUAGUUGGUCUGAGAGGACGACCAGCCACACUGGGACUGAGACACGGCCCAGACUCCUACGGGAGGCAGCAGUGGGGAAUUUGGACAAUGGGCGCAAGCCUGAUCCAGCAAUGCCGCGUGCAGGAAGAAGGCCUUCGGGUUGUAAACUGCUUAUUGUCAGGAAAUCUUCUGGGUUAAUACCUCGGGAGGAUGACGGUACCUGAAUAAGCACCGGCUAACUACGUGCCAGCAGCCGCGGUAAUACGUAGGGUGCGAGCGUUAAUCGGAAGACUGGGCGUAAAGCGUGCGCAGGCGGCUUUGCAAGACAGAUGUGAAAUCCUCCGGGCUCAACCUGGGAACUGCAUUUGUGACUGCAAGGCUAGAGUACGGCAGAGCUGAUGGAAUUCCGCGUGUAGCAGUGAAAUGCGUAGAUAUGCGGAGGAACACCAAUGGCGAAGGCAAUCCCCUGGGCCUGUACUGACGCUCAUGCACGAAAGCGUACGAGCAAACAGGAUUAGAUACCCUGGUAGUCCACGCCCUAAACGAUGUCAACUGGUUGUUGGAUACUUGCUGUUCAGUAACGAAGCUAACGCGUGAAGUUGACCGCCUGCGAGUACGGCCGCAAGGUUGAAACUCAAAGGAAUUGACGACGACCCGCACAAGCGGUGGAUGAUGUGGUUUAAUUCGAUGCAACGCGAGUACCUUACCUACCCUUGACAUGCCAGGGACUGCCAGAGAUGGCUUGGUGGUCGUCGAGAAGCCUGGAGGUGCUGCAUGGCCGUCGUCAGCUCGUGUCGUGAGAUGUUGAAGUCCCGCAACGAGCGCAACCCUUGUCAUUAGUUGCUACGAAAGGGCACUCUAAUGAGACUGCCGGUGACAAACCGAAGGAAGGUGGGGAUGACGUCAGGUCCUCAUGGUUAUGGGUAGGGCUACACACGUCAUACAAUGGCCGGUACAGAGGGCUGCCAACCCGCGAGGGGGAGCCAAUCCCAGAAAACCGGUCGUAGUCCGGAUCGCAGUCUGCAACUCGACUGCGUGAAGUCGGAAUCGCUAGUAAUCGCGGAUCAGCUUGCCGCGGUGAAUACGUUCCCGGGUCUUGUACACACCGCCCGUCACACCAUGGCGGGUUCUGCCAGAAGUAGUUAGCCUAACCGCAAGGAGGGCGAUUACCACGGCAGGGCUUCGUGACUGGGGUGAAGUCGUAACCUCUAGCCGUAUCGGAAGGUGCGGCUGGAUCGAUAGCAAGCUUGGAUAUGC
rnacentral:rRNA from 1 species